CCAAGAGGUCUUGUUUCACAAGAGAAUCUUCAGGUGUUUUAGGCCUUUAUGACACACCCCAAGCCCUUCAGAGAGCCACAAGAAUGGCCCAGAGGAAAUUCUAAACCACUAUGACUCAUGGGUCCCCGAAAGGAAUUAGGAAGUAGAGAUUUACAGGUUGACUGGACCAGUAAGCAUAUUAUUAAUCCUUCAAACUCAGUGGAGGUCCACUUCCUAUUGAUGUUUGCAUGCUGGACACACAUCUGGAGACUUCGCUUUGUCCCCAACAAACAUCUGAACUUCAGGUGGUUCGCUUCAGUUUCACAUCAGCAGUCCUCUGACAUCUACCUUCCACUUGUGACUAAUUUCUCCCUAAUUUGUUAAACUUAAUGAAAAGCAAGGGUUCCUUGCCCCCCACCUCUUUAAAAAUGGGGGUCACCUGGAGGUGCAGGCCAUCGCUAUGUUAAACCUAUGAGGUGAUGAUAAACCACACAA
rnacentral:lncRNA from 1 species